GUGGCCAUAGUUUGACCAAAAACCUUGGACGUGACUCCCAGAACGAGAGCUUUCCUCUCUGAUCACC
rnacentral:tRNA from 1 species